GUGCGAGUGCUGCCUUGUAGUGGCAUUAGCCUGCUCUUUUUCGAAAUCUACAAGGGUGUCUUUAACGUGCAAGAGAUAUGGAUCUCUCUUAACACGAGUCAGCCAUUUAUCGUCCCCUUCCGACAGACUAUCAUCGUUUCCUCAAGACCAUACUCGCAAAUGGUGUCAAGGGAGAGCCGAAAAUUCAGUCCCUGAAAUUUUCAUCCC
rnacentral:lncRNA from 1 species